GAUGAACGCUGGCGGCGUGCCUAAUACAUGCAAGUCGAGCGAACAGACGAGAGUGCUUGCACUCUCUGACGUUAGCGGCGGACGGGUGAGUAACACGUGGGUAACCUACCUAUAAGACUGGGAUAACUUCGGGAAACCGGAGCUAAUACCGGAUAAUAUUUAGCUUCGCAUGAAGCAAUAGUGAAAGACGGUUCUGCUGUCACUUAUAGAUGGACCCGCGGUGUAUUAGCUAGUUGGUGAGGUAACGGCUCACCAAGGCAACGAUACAUAGCCGACCUGAGAGGGUGAUCGGCCACACUGGGACUGAGACACGGCCCCGACUCCUACGGGAGGCAGCAGUAGGGAAUCUUCCGCAAUGGACGAAAGUCUGACGGAGCAAUGCCGCGUGAGUGAAGAAGGUUUUCGGAUCGUAAAACUCUGUUGUAAGGGAAGAACAAGUACGUUAGUAACUGAACGUACCUUGACGGUACCUUACCAGAAAGCCACGGCUAACUACGUG
rnacentral:rRNA from 1 species